CCUACGGGUGGCAGCAGUGGGGAAUAUUGGACAAUGGGCGAAAGCCUGAUCCAGCCAUGCCGCGUGUGUGAAGAAGGCCUUCGGGUUAUAAAGCACUUUCAGUGGGGAAGAAAGCCUUGGGGCUAAUACCCUCGAGGAAGGACAUCACCCACAGAAGAAGCACCGGCUAACUCCGUGCCAGCAGCCGCGGUAAUACGGAGGGUGCGAGCGUUAAUCGGAAUUACUGGGCGUAAAGCGCGCGUAGGCGGUCUGAUAAGCCGGUUGUGAAAGCCCCGGGCUCAACCUGGGAACGGCAUCCGGAACUGUCAGGCUAGAGUGCAGGAGAGGAAGGUAGAAUUCCCGGUGUAGCGGUGAAAUGCGUAGAGAUCGGGAGGAAUACCAGUGGCGAAGGCGGCCUUCUGGACUGACACUGACGCUGAGGUGCGAAAGCGUGGGUAGCAAACAGGAUUAGAUACCCUGGUAGUC
rnacentral:rRNA from 1 species